rnacentral:rRNA from 2 species
CGAGUGGCGGACGGGUGAGUAAUGCUUGGGAACUUGCCUUCAGGAGGGGGAUAACAGUUGGAAACGACUGCUAAUACCGCAUAACGUCUACGGACCAAAGGGGGCUUCGGCUCCCACCUGAAGAGAGGCCCAAGUGAGAUUAGCUAGUUGGUAAGGUAAAGGCUUACCAAGGCGACGAUCUCUAGCUGUUCUGAGAGGAAGAUCAGCCACACUGGGACUGAGACACGGCCCAGACUCCUACGGGAGGCAGCAGUGGGGAAUAUUGCACAAUGGGGGAAACCCUGAUGCAGCCAUGCCGCGUGUGUGAAGAAGGCCUUCGGGUUGUAAAGCACUUUCAGUUGUGAGGAAAGGUUGGUAGUUAAUACCUGCCAGCUGUGACGUUAACAACAGAAGAAGCACCGGCUAACUCCGUGCCAGCAGCCGCGGUAAUACGGAGGGUGCGAGCGUUAAUCGGAAUUACUGGGCGUAAAGCGCACGCAGGCGGUUUGUUAAGCUAGAUGUGAAAGCCCCGGGCUCAACCUGGG